AAGAUAUUUAAAACGGAGUUUCGCAGUAACUGGUCAUUACUUGAAUCAUUUCUUCAACAUAUCAAAAAUCAAAAUGUCAAAAUUCAUUUUGCUGUUAUCAAUUUUGAUGUUGGUUUGCCUUUAUGCUAAUGCAGAUCAAGAUUGUAGAGGCAAACCGUGCCAAAGUGGUAGUGAUUGUUGCCCGCAGUACUCGUGUGCAAAAUUUAAGCUCCCAUGGUCUUGCAUAUCUUAUACGGGAUCAACAGCCCUUACAACCCGACGUCAAAAAUGACGCAGUUCUUUGAUGCGAUUCUGCAUCUCAUCAACGGCUGCAGCAAUAAAUAAAAAAAAAAAUUAAUUAAAUAAAGAUGACCAACAUAUUUGUUUUACUUUUAGACUUAUCAUCAAAUAUGAUUAUUAUUGUGUAGUACGACGAUGUCUUGAAAAUAAAGAAAAUUUUUCUGGGUAAAAACUAAA